rnacentral:lncRNA from 1 species
GAAAUGUCAGUUCUUUGUUACUAAAGAAUUUGAGGCAACUUCAUCAGAAGUGAAAGUUUUAAUUUUGGGUUCCAAAGAAAACAUUUCAGAAUGUGUUGCCAAAUCUUCGCUCAUCAUAAUUUGGAAUUGGACAACAUUCCUGAGCACGUGUCCCAGGCAAGGUGGGCCAUGGAGGGACCAUAACGCAUGACCAUGCCCUUCAGCUGCUUUGAGUGUAGCGGAGGAAAAGCCAUAUACCCGGGGGGACAGCAGUUCAUGGGGAAUGAAGAGAUUCAGCCAAGAAACACCUAUUGCAGUAAAAGCAAAGAGGAAGAACGAACAUUUCAUCUGACCAUGUCUUAUUUUUUGCUUGUCCCCAUUGUGCUGGUCAUUCAGCAAGCACUUGAUAUUUUUCCAUGAGAUUUUAUUGACACGGGAAAUUAGGUGCCACUAAGACAAAGAUUUAUUUUCUUGGUGUCUAUGCAAAC